rnacentral:tRNA from 1 species
GCAUUGGUGGUUCAAUGGUAGAAUUUUUGCCUUUUAUGCUGGAGACUCAGGUUUGAUUCCUGGCCAAUGCA